AAUAGAUACCCGGGUAGUCCACGCCGUAAACGAUGAGUGCUAAGUGUUAGAGGGUUUCCGCCCUUUAGUGCUGAAGUUAACGCAUUAAGCACUCCGCCUGGGGAGUACGGCCGCAAGGCUGAAACUCAAAGGAAUUGACGGGGGGCCCGCACAAGCGGUGGAGCAUGUGGUUUAAUUCGAAGCAACGCGAAGAACCUUACCAGGUCUUGACAUCCUCUGACAACCCUAGAGAUAGGGCUUCUCCUUCGGGAGCAGAGUGACAGGUGGUGCAUGGUUGUCGUCAGCUCGUGUCGUGAGAUGUUGGGUUAAGUCCCGCAACGAGCGCAACCCUUGAUCUUAGUUGCCAUCAUUCAGUUGGGCACUCUAAGGUGACUGCCGGUGACAAACCGGAGGAAGGUGGGGAUGACGUCAAAUCAUCAUGCCCCUUAUGACCUGGGCUACACACGUGCUACAAUGGACGGUACAAAGAGCUGCAAGACCGCGAGGUGGAGCUAAUCUCAUAAAACCGUUCUCAGUUCGGA
rnacentral:rRNA from 1 species